GGAGGGCUAUACAUUAUCUGGAGAAAGUGUUUUAAGGUGUAUGAAUAAUGGAGCAUGGAAUCAUCAAAGACCAUCGUGUGAAGCUGUCGAGUGUGAGGGAAGCCCACCAGAGGUCGCCCUUGCAUCCACCACGAUACUAGGAUCAGCGUAUCAAGAUAUAGCUCUAUACACCUGUCAAGAUAGUUAUAUUCCUGACAAUGAACCAAUCAGCUUCUGCCAGCAUACAGGCAAUUGGAGUUCAUCUUACUUUACAUGUACAACACGCAGCCCGUGUAACAGUAACCCCUGUGUUAAUGGAGGAACCUGCACCGUGAACGGAUCUCGUUCACAUGUACAUGUCCUUCAAGCUACACUGGUCCAACGUGUGAUGAAGAGUUCAGCCCGUGUAACAGCAACCCCUGUAUAAAUGGAGGUACUUGCUUAGACAUAAAUGCAUCGUCAUUCAACAGUACAUGUACACCAGGCUACAUUGGUUCGACGUGCAAUGAAGAAAGUCCAAACGGAAAAUCGUCACCUUCUGGAGCUAUCGCAGCUGGAAGCUCAGUGGCCGUUCUUUUCAUCUUAGUGGUAAUCGUUUUAGCCGUCAUCCUAUUCAGACGGUAUAUAUUUCUUUACAUUUAUUUCCAUUUAUUUGCUUUUAAUUAUUACUUCGCCUUCGUGCCACUUGUUUAACAUUUGCCCCGAACUCACCACCAUUAUAUUUUCUACUCUUUAGGGGCCUGAUUAAUUUUGGCGAUCCCCGUAGGACCUAAAAUAGAUUGACCCUCAUAUCCAGAAUUAUCGAAUAUGUAUAAAAUGUACCUCUAACGCUAAUGCUAUUUAGCAAACACACGCUCUUUCAAUGAAAUGAUUAUCAAGAUUCCAUGCUUCGGCGUGCACUUUUUCUUCUUUUGAGAUUCUUCCAUGAAAUCAAGUCUACGCUCUAUAUCCAAGACUUUUGAGCAUGUGAAGCUCUACCUUUGAACCAGUUGUCAUAUAUUUAACGAAUUAUUCCCAACUCCUUUGACAUUAUCCAUCGUUCUACUGGACCAUACCCCCUUCCCUGUAACCAAGAGUAAUUAAAACGCAACAUAUAAUCAGUUGCAUUUCUAUGGUACGUAUGUAUAACUGUGAGAUUUCAUUAAUGCACUCUAUAAACAAAAAUGUUAAAUCAAAAAUUAAAAGUUUGGAGAAGCAAGGUACAUCAUUAUAAUUAACACUUAUAACACGAUUAAUCGAACACAGUGUAAAGGUUGGGUCAAGCAUGUUUAAAGUGUUAAUCUACCAUUUAAACAAACAAUUGUAUUCCUAUAAAAGGGCGCUUUUGAAAGAUAAUUUAAUUAACCUAAAACAAUUUACAUGUCAUGUUGACAUAUUCCUAUAUACCUUUCUAUUGAGA